UAACAGAAGUGGAAUUUUACACCUGCUCAAUUUACAUCAGUUCAAAUGAUAAUGAUGUGAUCCCAUCAAGACAGAGUAAGGAAGCAGAGCAUGGUAGCAGCUGGGGGACAGGAGGUGACCAUCAAGUCCUCUGACUUCUCCUCAGUGCCUCUUGCUUUCCUGCAGAUAACUGCUGGCAAUGUUUGAAUACCUUCUCUUAUGAAAAGUCAAACAGCACCGUAGAUGCCCACAAAUGCUAUAAGGGCAGUGGAUUUAUAUCCUAUCAGAGUAAGUGCUUCCUAAUACUUGUCUUUCAUGAAGAAAAAUGAUUAAACAGGGACUCAAUAUGAAUCCUGA
rnacentral:lncRNA from 1 species